rnacentral:rRNA from 1 species
GACGAACGCUGGCGGCGUGCUUAACACAUGCAAGUCGAACGGAAAGGCCCUGCUUUUGUGGGGUGCUCGAGUGGCGAACGGGUGAGUAACACGUGAGUAACCUGCCCUUGACUUUGGGAUAACUUCAGGAAACUGGGGCUAAUACCGGAUAGGAGCUCCUGCUGCAUGGUGGGGGUUGGAAAGUUUCGGCGGUUGGGGAUGGACUCGCGGCUUAUCAGCUUGUUGGUGGGGUAGUGGCUUACCAAGGCUUUGACGGGUAGCCGGCCUGAGAGGGUGACCGGCCAAAUGGGGACUGGGAUCCGGCCCAAACUCUUCCGGGGGGCAGCAGUGGGGAAUAUGCAACAAUGGCCGAAGGCCUGAGGAAGAACCGCGGCGUGCGGAAUGCCGGCCUUCGGGUUGUAAACCGCUUUGGCCUGUAACGAAGCGUAGGGGAGGGUAAUGGGAAAAGAGGCACCGGUAACUUACGU